rnacentral:rRNA from 1 species
AUUGAACGCUGGCGGCAGGCUUAACACAUGCAAGUCGAGCGGGGACUUCGGUCCUAGCGGCGAACGGGUGAGGAAUGCUUGGGAAUCUGCCCAGUAGCGGGGGAUAACGUUUCGAAAGGAACGCUAAUACCGCAUACGCCCUACGGGGGAAAGGGGGGGAUCUUCGGACCUCUCACUAUUGGAUGAGCCCAAGUCGGAUUAGCUAGUUGGUGAGGUAAAGGCUCACCAAGGCGACGAUCCGUAGCUGGUCUGAGAGGAUGAUCAGCCACACUGGAACUGAGACACGGUCCAGACUCCUACGGGAGGCAGCAGUGGGGAAUAUUGGACAAUGGGCGAAAGCCUGAUCCAGCCAUGCCGCGUGUGUGAAGAAGGCCUUCGGGUUGUAAAGCACUUUAAGCGAGGAGGAAUGGCUCCGGGUUAAUACCCUUGAGCAUAGACGUUACUCGCAGAAUAAGCACCGGCUAACUCUGUGCCAGCCGCCGCGGUAAAAC